rnacentral:rRNA from 1 species
AGCGAACGCUGGCGGCAGGCUUAACACAUGCAAGUCGAGCGGACCUUUCGGGGUCAGCGGCGGACGGGUGAGUAACGCGUGGGAACGUGCCUUCCGGUUCGGAAUAACCCUGGGAAACUAGGGCUAAUACCGGAUACGCCCUUAUGGGGUAAGGUUUACUGCCGGAUGAUCGGCCCGCGUCUGAUUAGCUAGUUGGUGGGGUAACGGCCUACCAAGGCGACGAUCAGUAGCUGGUCUGAGAGGAUGAUCAGCCACACUGGGACUGAGACACGGACCAGACUCCGACGGGAGGCAGCAGUGGGGAAUAUUGGACAAUGGGCGCAAGCCUGAUCCAGCCAUGCCGCGUGAGUGAUGAAGGCCGUAGGGUUGUAAAGCUCUUUUAUACGGGACGAUAAUGACGGUACCGGAGGAAUAAGCCCCGGCUAACUUCGUG